rnacentral:rRNA from 1 species
GACGAACGCUGGCGGCGUGCUUAACACAUGCAAGUCGAACGGAAAGGCCCUGCUUUUGUGGGGUGCUCGAGUGGCGAACGGGUGAGUAACACGUGAGUAACCUGCCCUUGACUUUGGGAUAACUUCAGGAAACUGGGGCUAAUACCGGAUAGGAGCUCCUGCUGCAUGGUGGGGGUUGGAAAGUUUCGGCGGUUGGGGAUGGACUCGCGGCUUAUCAGCUUGUUGGUGGGGUAGUGGCUUACCAAGGCUUUGACGGGUAGCCGGCCUGAGAGGGUGACCGGCUACAUUGGGACUGAGAUACGGCCCAGACUCCUACGGGAGGCAGCAGUGGGGAAUAUUGCACAAUGGGCGGAAGCCUGAUGCAGCAACGCCGCGUGCGGGAUGACGGCCUUCGGGUUGUAAGCCGCUUUCGCCUGUGACGAAGCGUGAGUGACGGUAAUGGGUAAAGAAGCACCGGCUAACUACGUG